GACGAACGCUGGCGGCGUGCUUAACACAUGCAAGUCGAACGAUGAAAGCUGGAGCUCGCUCCGGCUGGAUUAGUGGCGAACGGGUGAGUAACACGUGAGCAAUCUGCCCUUGACUCUGGGAUAACUCCGAGAAAUCGGUGCUAAUACCGGAUAUGACCCUUGGCGGCAUCGCUGGGGGUGGAAAGUUUUUCGGUCAAGGAUGAGCUCGCGGCCUAUCAGCUUGUUGGUGAGGUAAUGGCUCACCAAGGCGACGACGGGUAGCCGGCCUGAGAGGGUGACCGGCCACACUGGGACUGAGACACGGCCCAGACUCCUACGGGAGGCAGCAGUGGGGAAUAUUGCACAAUGGGCGCAAGCCUGAUGCAGCAACGCCGCGUGGGGGAUGACGGCCUUCGGGUUGUAAGCCUCUUUUAGCAGGGAAGAAGCGAAAGUGACGGUACCUGCAGAAAAAGCACCGGCUAACUACGUGCCAGCAGCCGCGGUAA
rnacentral:rRNA from 1 species